GGCCAUGAAACCUACACUGAGAAUGGCUUUAGAUAAUCCAUAUACAAAGUAAAAACCAUCGUUUCUUCCAUCUCUCUGGACCUAACUGAAACCAAGUUCUAGUUGAAGGAAAAGCAUACAACUGUAGGUAUGAAUUUUUUCCAUGCUACAGUUCUUCUGAAGAACUCGAUUGGAAGUAGUAGCCCAUACUGUCCUAGUCAACCUCCACAGCAUUUCCACGGUAUCCUAGUACUGAAAAAGAGACCAGGUGUAAACAAAGUGAGAAGCUUUAUUUUGGAAAACAAAAAUAACACAUCAAAGUGAUCAAACUGAAUGAAAGGCUUUAUCAGCUAAAACAAAUGCCUCAUAACAGAUGCCAAUUUGAAAAUAGCUACUCAAUCAGGGCAAUGUUUUUACUCGAUAACCAAUCACAUUGAACUAGUUUUGAGACCAGCACUCGAUCAGAAUACACACCUACACAGUACACAAUGAUAAGCUUGCCGCGUGCGGUACCAUGCCAGCACAAUAUCCAAAUUAGACAACUGGAUGC
rnacentral:lncRNA from 1 species